rnacentral:rRNA from 1 species
UACGUAGGGUGCAAGCGUUGUCCGGAAUUAUUGGGCGUAAAGAGCUCGUAGGCGGUUUGGCAAGUCGGGUGUGAAAACUCCGGCUCAACUCGGAGACGCCACUCGAUACUGCCAUGACUCGAGUCCGGUAGGGGAAUGCGGAAUUCCUGGUGUAGCGGUGAAAUGCGCAGAUAUCAGGAGGAACACCGGUGGCGAAGGCGGCACUCUGGGCCGGUACUGACGCUGAGGAGCGAAAGCGUGGGGAGCGAACAGG